rnacentral:lncRNA from 1 species
CAGCCCCUCAACCCAGAGGUCAAGAUCAAUGCUACUUAGGAAAGGCCAGCCCAUUCCACACCCUCUCACCUCUAGCCCCAGACCCAGGCUGACAGCCCUUCUCUGGCCCAGCAGUCACCUACAGCGACUUCACACAGGCCCUUUGCACAGAUUUUCCAGUUUGGGGCCCUGCAGUUCCAGACAGACUCAUCAUGGCCUGACAGAGCUAGCUCUAACCAGUCAUCCGUACUCCAUGCCCAACGGGGUGCCAGCUCGUCAGAGGGGGCAUCAUAAGAGCUCAUGGAAAGAGAGCCCCCACGUGUGCCUGGAUGUGACACAGCCAUCUCCACGGCUCUCAUAACCGCGUUUCAUCUCCUGCUUGCCGGUAUCGACAAAACCCUCAUCUCAGCCUGCUAAAUGCCUGCCUCAUUUUCCACUCUAUCGACAGACUCCAUUUGACUUAACUGGCCCCCAUCGUGCGGCAAUUGGAAGGCUUCUUGUUGCUUUAAAUGAGGGGGAGGAGCAGGUGCCAGGCCUGGGCUUCUGCAGGCACAGCCCAGGAACAGGGUUUUCCAUCACCACUAGCACCUGGACAGCUGGGAGAGGGGUCGGGACAGGCCUGGGGCCCAGUAGGCGGCACUCUGUCCUCAGCCAUCCUCCUGUCCUGCCAAGAUGAGCAUGCCUUUCUUUGCUGAGGAGACAAGGGAUACAGCUCUCCGGCGACUGACCCUACCCUGCUCUGGCCCGCUUCCUUCUUUGUGACCUCUUUCAAUCCUUCCCCCAAGGCAGAGGCUGCAACUGUCUGAAUAUUCACUCAGCACCACCCACCUCACCCAACCUGCCUCCACUGGCCUUAUAUUUGGACCUCACCCACGCCGCCCCGCCCCCCUCCCUUUACUCACCCUGCACAUCUCUAGACCACGCCCACUUCAUCCUUCACAGCCUGGUCUUACCCUCCUAAAGCUUCCAGGACUGGAAUGAAAUUUGGGGGAUCAUAUUCUGGGGAUAGAACCAUAAACAAAGGAGCCAAUGUUCCAAUGUGGACAGAUGGGUGGACACAUAGACGAGAGGCGUCUGCCCCACAGGUGGAGGGGCGCUGCGGUCGCUGGGGAGGAGUGUGGAUGACUUCAGUGAUGUGAUUCAGAGAUGCCCGGCUGGGAGGGGCACCUGUACAAAGGGAAAGAUGUGGGCAGUGUGGACAGAGCUCCCCAGGUCCAGAGACUAGUGAGUGUAAAGGGCCUGAGGCAGGAGAGGCAGGCACUUUCCAGCAAUGGCAGGGAGUCAGGAUAACCAGAGUGGGCAAGAUGGCAGGGCCUGCCUGGAAUCUUUGGCUCUUAGGCUGGACCACGUAAAUGAGUUCA